rnacentral:rRNA from 1 species
UACGUAGGGAGCGAGCGUUGUCCGGAUUUAUUGGGCGUAAAGAGCGUGUAGGCGGUUUGGUAGGUCCGCUGUGAAAACUCGAGGCUCAACCUCGAGACGCCGGUGGAAACCAUCAGGCUAGAGUCCGGAAGAGGAGAGUGGAAUUCCUGGUGUAGCGGUGAAAUGCGCAGAUAUCAGGAAGAACACCCGUGGCUAAGGCGGCUCUCUAGUACGGUACUGACGCUGAGACGCGAAAGCGUGGGGAGCGAACAGG